GAUGAAGAACGCAGCGAAAUGCGAUAAGUAGUGUGAAUUGCAGAAUUCAGUGAAUCAUCGAAUCUUUGAACGCACAUUGCGCCCUCUGGUAUUCCGGGGGGCAUGCCUGUCCGAGCGUCAUUUGCAACCCUCAAGCCCGGCUUGUGUGAUGGGUGCCGUCCCCUACGGGACGCGCCCCGAAGGCAAUGGCGGCGUCGCGGUUAUCCGAUCAGCCAAAGUGUAUGGGGCUUUGUCACUCACUUUACGGCCCGGACCGGCGCCAGUCCGAAUCAAUCUUUUUUCUAAAGUUGACCUCGGAUCAGGUAGGGAUACCCGCUGAACUUAAGCAUAUCAAUAAGCGGAGGA
rnacentral:misc_RNA from 1 species